rnacentral:rRNA from 1 species
CUUGGGAACUCUGGAAACCGCCUUAAAUCUACGAAGCAUACGUGAUCUGCAAUGGAGGACUUGAUUGCAGGAUGCGCUGAGUGAGAGGCUUGGUGUAAAGCUCUUCGUCGGAGGAAAUGACUGUACGAUAAGAAGUCGCUACCUCGUGCAGCAGCGCGUAUACGAGGGACUAGCGUAGUCCGAUACUGGCUAAGAGUCGUAGUGUGAAAAGUAGUGUGAAUCCAGGGCUACUCUGAACUGCAUAAAACUUUUCAGCUAGAGUAUGAUAGAGGAAAGCAGAAUUUCUAGUGUAGAGGUGAAAUUCGUAGAUAUUAGAAAGAAUACCAAUUGCGAAGGCAGCUUUCUGGAUCAUUACUGACACUGAGGAACGAAAGCAUGGGUAGCGAAGAGGAUUAGAUACCCUCGUAGUCCAUGCCGUAAACGAUGUGUGUUAGACGUUGGAAAUUUAUUUUCAGUGUCGCAGGGAAACCGAUAAAACACACCGCCUGGGGAGUACGACCGCAAGGUUAAAACUCAAAUGAAUUGACGGGGACCCGCACAAGUAGUGGAGCAUGUGGUUUAAUUCGAAGAUACGCGCAGAACCUUACCAACACUUGACAUGUUCGUCGCGACUCUAAGAGAUUAGAGUUUUCGGUUCGGCCGGACGAAACACAGGUGCUGCAUGGCUGUCGUCAGCUCGUGUCGUGAGAUGUUGGGUUAAGUCCCGCAACGAGCGCAACCCUCACUUUUAGUUGCCAUCAUUAAGUUGGGCACUCUGAAAGAACUGCCAGUGAUAAGCUGGAGGAAGGUGGGGAUGACGUCAAGUCCUCAUGGCCCUUACGUGUUGGGCUACACACGUGCUACAAUGGUAUCUACAACAGGAAGCAAGACUGCGAAGUUAAGCAAAUCCCUAAAAGAUACCUCAGUUCGGAUUGCACUCUGCAACUCGAGUGCAUGAAGCUGGAAUUACUAGUAAUCGUGGAUCAGCGUGCCACGGUGAAUGCGUUCCCGGGUCUUGUACACACCGCCCGUCACACCAUGGGAGUUGGUUCUACCUUAAGGCAAGGUUUCAAACCCUUGACCACGGUAUAGUCAGCGACUGGGGUGAAGUCGUAACAAGGUAACCGUA